UUUUAUGGUGGCCGUGCGUAGGGCACCUUCGGGUGCGCCGGGUACCAGUCUCCGGUCGACUAACCUGCGCAUGGCCGCCACCCAU
rfam:Pseudomonas cichorii JBC1, complete genome.